rnacentral:rRNA from 1 species
AUUGAACGCUGGCGGAAUGCUUUACACAUGCAAGUCGAGCGGCAGCACGGGGGCAACCCUGGUGGCGAGCGGCGAACGGGUGAGUAAUACAUCGGAACAUGCCCAGUCGUGGGGGAUAACACUUCGAAAGAAGUGCUAAUACCGCAUACGUCCUGAGGGAGAAAGCGGGGGAUCUUCGGACCUCGCGCGAUUGGAGUGGCCGAUGUCAGAUUAGCUAGUUGGUGGGGUAAAGGCCUACCAAGGCAACGAUCUGUAGCUGGUCUGAGAGGAUGAUCAGCCACACUGGGACUGAGGAACGGCCCAGAAUCCUACGGGAGGCAGCAGUGGGGAAUUUUGGACAAUGGGGGCAACCCUGAUCCAGCCAUUCCGCGUGAGUGAAGAAGGCCUUCGGGUUGUAAAGCUCUUUCGGCAGGAACGAAACGGCGAGCUCUAACAUAGCUUGCUAAUGACGGUACCUGAAGAAGAAGCACCGGCUAACUACGUGCCAGCCGCCGCCGUAAGAC